rnacentral:lncRNA from 1 species
GUGAUGUUAUGCUAUUGUUUCAGAAAAAGGGAGAAGGUUUGGAUCCAUUAAAACGUUUAAUCCCGCUGCAAAUGUUUGCACCUGUCCUAAGUCAGGAAUCUGAUGUACAGUAGUUGUCGUUUGUUUAUGUAAUAUUUACGUGUUUCUCGUUUCUCGUUUUGUUUAUAUAGAUUAGACCGUUGGUUUUCCCGUUUGAAUGGUUUUACACUAGUAAUUUUGGGGCCCUUUAGAGCUUGUUGUUCGGUGUGAGCCAAGGCUCCGUGUUGAAGGCCGU